rnacentral:rRNA from 1 species
AGCGAACGCUGGCGGCAGGCCUAACACAUGCAAGUCGAACGGAUCCUUCGGGAUUAGUGGCGGACGGGUGAGUAACACGUGGGAACGUGCCUUUUGGUUCGGAACAACUCAGGGAAACUUGAGCUAAUACCGGACAAGCCCUUCGGGGAAAGGAUUAUCGCCAUUAGAGCGGCCCGCGUCUGAUUAGCUAGUUGGUGAGGUAAAGGCUCACCAAGGCUACGAUCAGUAGCUGGUCUGAGAGGAUGAUCAGCCACAUUGGGACUGAGACACGGCCCAAACUACCUACGGGAGGCAGCAGUGGGGAAUCUUGCGCAAUGGGCGAAAGCCUGACGCAGCCAUGCCGCGUGAAUGAUGAAGGUCUUA